CAGGUUUUUGAUGCUGAGAUAAUCACUGUGGGAAGGACAAGGCUUCUCCUUUAUCUUCGGGAAGGGGACAAGGCUGCUUGUCAUGCCAAAUGUCAAGAACCCUGACCCUGCCGUGUACCAGCUGAGAAGCCCUGAAUCUAGCAACACUUCCAUCUGCCUGUUCACCGAUUUUGACUCUAAGACCAAUGUGUCCCAAGCCACGGGUUCCUCAGCAGUCCGCUCCACCAGCACAGUGCUGGACAUGCAGUCCACACACUCCAAGAGCUAUGGGGCCCUGCUCUGGAGUGACAACACUGAUUUUGGAUGUCAAGACACCUUCAAUGAGACCUUCUACCCCAGCUCAGAAUUUUCCUGUGAUGUUACGUCGGUAGAGAAAAGCUUUGAAACAGACAUAAACCUGAACUUCCAAAACCUGUCCGUGAUCGGGUUCCGCAUCCUGCUGCUGAAGGUGGCCGGCUUCAACCUGCUCAUGACGCUGCGGCUGUGGUCCAGCUGAGGUCACCAAGAACGUGAGAGCCCAAUGCUCCUCGCUCCUCGCUCCUCACCACCCGCCUCUCUCUCAAGCAGAGAGGUGCACUCUCGGCCUCCAAGGAGGAGAAGUCCCCCUUCGCCUCUGUGGCCCCUCUGGCAAUGCCACCAACUGGACCCUACCAGAUACUUGUGAUCAAGAUGCUGAUGAGCUGCCAAACUCUGCUGCCACUCCUGCCAUCCCCUCGUUGCUGCUUGUCACCGCCCGACAUUCCCAGGGAAGGCAGGGGCUGCGGCAGCCCCUCCUGGCUGUGGGACCCCCCACCCCUCCCGACCAAGGCUGCCUCUGACGUCUCACUGGGCGAUGGAUCACGGCGGGGGUGGGGGGGAGGGGAUCUCUCAGGUUCUAGCUCCUGGAGAAUGUUGUGAGGAGCUUAUAUUUUUUUAUAUUUUUAAAAUAGUGUUCAUGAAAAAAUGCAUAUUGCCCUUUCCCCCAAGAUGUGGGGGAAAUUGCCCCUGACCGAGGCCCUGCUGUGCUGCGCGUGUGAGCUGCUCGUGCCUGCUGCUGCCCCAGCUUCAUUAAAGUGGUUUGGAAGAGCC